UCCCGAAUUUUAUUAGAUUAGGUUUCGAUUUUGCUUACUUUCACUAAAAUGUUCUUUAGUGUUUAGGUUUCUUAGGUUAUUCUAGGUUUCUGAUGUUAUACUUACGUUUCUUAGGUUUCCUUGUGUUAUUCUAGAUGUCCUUUUAGUUGCUUAGGCUUAUUCGUUGCUCAUUUGCUUAUUUGACUCCAGAAUAGAUAAAGAUUUAGAACUCGGUCACGUGAAAGUUUCUUGCUUUCGGUCUCAGCUCAUUCGACUCAGAAAAAAAUUCUUAGCCGAAUGAGUGCAAAAUGACGUCAUUAUGACGUCAUCCUGAUGGUGUCCCUAUAUUGGAUUUUUACCACUGGUUGAAUGGCGAAAACGCGCCGAAGCGCUUUGGGGUAAUACUCGCCCCAGAUCCCAUCGGGCAUGACACACAGAGACUCCGAAUUUACACCUCCACGUCCCAUCCACCCAUCCAGAGGGUUCGGGAGAUCCACUCCACGGUCCAAUGUGAGCGAAACGACAGCUUCCAGAAUGAACAUUCAUGCGUCCCCGAAAACAGAAAACACAGAGCCCCCCGAACGCUGCACCAACUAGGUCACGGGUUGAACGGCGAAAACGUGCCGAAGCGCUUUGGGUUAAUACUCGCCCCAGAUCACAUCGAGCACAACAUCCAGAAACUCCAGGCUCCCCACCCUCAGGCCGCAUGAAUUCGGAAUGCGAAAAUGACGAAUGCAAGCGACGGCAGGUUUCGGAGUCAGCGCGGCUCCCGAGCGCACAUCCACGGUUUCCAACCUCACCGUUCCCAAAAGCAAAAACAGCAGAAUCCCCGAACGCUGCACCAACUAGGUCACUGGUUGAAUGGCGGAAAUGCGCCGAAGCGCCUUGGGUUAAUACACGCCCCAGAUCACAUCGAGCACAACGUUCAGAAACACCGAGCUUCCCGCCACCAAGGCCGACGAAGUCUUCUCCACGGGAUGAAUUCAGGAACCGAUUCAACUCCAUGAUAUGAGAGACGGAUGAACAAAGCGAAUCAGAUCCACCAGAUGAGUAUGGCGAAGUGAGAUGUUACACGGGUGCUAGAGAGCCUCCAGUGGCGGAUGCUAGCAGAACCCGACCGUGAAAGCGCUCAGGACUUGUCCCUGCCAAUCUGGCGUUAACCAGAAUGGCAGGGCACGCAUGAUAGCACUCAACGAUGACAUUUAAGUAACGCCGCUCUAUCGCUUCUUCGAUACAACGUAUUAUGAAUUUAUGACGUACUGUCUGUGACAGUGUGACUGCUCCAUAAAAACAUUAUUAAUUGUACUGUAGGUGAUGCACACACUCCUCACGAGGUGACAUGGGAUGAUCAAACGCCCUAUCAGCCAGUCCAGCUUAACUUUGUUUAUAAAGGCGCAUAUGCGGCGUAUUGGAGCAAUGCCGCUGUUCUCGGAACUGGAUUCAUCGGUCUCGUUCUAUAUCAGGGACGCGAUUUGCUUAGGCGGGAAACCGAAGCCUUGUUGAAAAACAUCUACGCACGCCUGUGCAUUGUUGCGUGCAUAUUCUCCGUGGUGGCAACUGUGUUUACCGUAAGACGAUGGCAAACUGUUCCAAAACCUACUUAGAGAAUAAUGCGAGCGAUUUGGAAAUACCGUUUAUCAUGUCCAUAGUAGCCUGCUUCCUGCAUGUUCGCCUGGGUCAGCUGGUUUGUUUGCUCCUAUUUUGACCCUGAUGUCCGUGACGUACAAACAUUACCAUCCACCCGCGGUGUCAAACACGGGAAAAUUUUGCAACAAAAAGAUCGUCUUUGAGCAAGGCAAAUUUCGUGAUAUCCACAAUGACCACGGUAUACAAUGGACACUAACGAAGCCCGUUGACAACGACAACGCCAACGCCAACAUGCAAAAUCCUCAUCUUUUGGAAAAUUUUCUACUUGUCUAUCGGCAGCAAAGGAAUCUACUAAUAAUUCUCGUUGGCGCUCCCAGCUGCGCAAACUGCUUCGUCGUGCACGCGAUCCCAACGCCUUCAGCCGCAUCACUAUGCAGUCGUCGCGUUUGACCGGUGCAUCGCUACCAGCUCACCCGUCGACUUUUGAUACUGUCCGCCACGAUGAAUCGGGAUGUGUUGUUGAAGAAACUUACUCCGAGAUGACAUCUCAGUACACUGACGUUUCGGGACAGCCAUCGUCCGGCUUGACGAUGCCCGACAGCGCAUCGGAUGUGAUUAGAGGACUGAUAAGUGAAAACAUGAAACACCCAGCCGCGGAUACUAUCGAGCAUAAGAAUGAGGAAAAUUUCAAUCAUUAAUUUGGAUGUAAUAAGCAUUUCUAUUCUAAUUUCUUGUGAAGAUUAAAUAAACAUUAUGGCUGCGAGCACGGGUAAACACAGGCGUUGUUGCUGGUGCACGGGCAUCCUUUUGGUUUUCCACAGCUGCUGACUGCGGACACUGAUAGUGCGGGCGCUCUCUUGUAAAUGUACUAUGCCACAUAGUUAUAGGAACAGUUACUAAAGAGCUCAAUUCCUGUACUGAUGACGGAGAUCUCCAUAAGCAGUUUAGCAAAGAUGACUAUUUUGGGUCGGAAUGCACUUUGCUCUA